rnacentral:tRNA from 1 species
GGUCAUGGCUCAGCGGUAGAGAACUCGCCUAGCACGUGGGAGGCCCUGGGUUUGAUCCUCAGCACCA